GACGAACGCUGGCGGCGUGCUUAACACAUGCAAGUCGAACGGAAAGGCCCUGCUUUUGUGGGGUGCUCGAGUGGCGAACGGGUGAGUAACACGUGAGUAACCUGCCCUUGACUUUGGGAUAACUUCAGGAAACUGGGGCUAAUACCGGAUAGGAGCUCCUGCUGCAUGGUGGGGGUUGGAAAGUUUCGGCGGUUGGGGAUGGACUCGCGGCUUAUCAGCUUGUUGGUGGGGUAGUGGCUUACCAAGGCUUUGACGGGUAGCCGGCCUGAGAGGGUGACCGGCCACAUUGGGACUGAGAUACGGCCCAGACGCCUACGGGAGGCAGCAGUGGGGAAUAUUGCACAAUGGGCGGAAGCCUGAUGCAGCAACGCCGCGUGCGGGAUGAAGGCCUUCGGGUUGUAAACCGCUUUCGCCUGGGACGAAGCGUGAGUGACGGUAAUGGGUAAAGAAGCACCGGCUAACUACG
rnacentral:rRNA from 1 species